rnacentral:rRNA from 1 species
CAGCAGCCGCGGGAAAACGAAGGGGGGUAGCGUUGCUCGGAAUUACUGGGCGUAAAGGGAGCGUAGGCGGACAUUUAAGUCAGGGGUGAAAUCCCAGAGCUCAACUCUGGAACUGCCUUUGAUACUGGGUGUCUUGAGUGUGAUAGAGGUAUGUGGAACUCCGAGUGUAGAGGUGAAAUUCGUAGAUAUUCGGAAGAACACCAGUGGCGAAGGCGACAUACUGGAUCAUUACUGACGCUGAGGCUCGAAAGCGUGGGGAGCAAACAGGAUUAGAUACCCCCUGUAGUCCCUGUCUCUUAUA